GCUAAGAUCAAGUGUAGUAUCUAUUCUUAUCAGUUUAAUGUCUGAUAUGUGGACCAUUGGUCCACACGAUAUUAGAUUUAUUUUUUGAGGGGGAAGAUCCAUCUAAGUAGCUUGCUACUUGGGUCUUCAUGCGUCGUCUUUGCAUUGCACUGGCCAGGCUCACCCCAGCAAUUUUAGUUUAAAUAUGGAACUAAGUUAUUAGUGGUGAAGCUGCGAAGCCGGUGAAGAGGCACUGAGAGAAUUCACGGCUAGAGUUUGAUGAGAGUUGGGGAUAUGAUUCUAGUCGGAAAUGAGUGAGCUAUGCAUGAAUUAUAUUUAAGCUUAUAUGAUCUCUCUCACUACCCUUAAAAUAUUCACACACAGCCUAAACUCUACUUCAAUUCAAGUUUCAACCAUGAAGUCUAGUUUUUCAUUAAACGGAGGAGUACUAGUUUUCCUUGUUUCCUGUAUUCUCAAUUCACCUGCAAGAAAAAUGGCUUCAAUGAAGUAGGAGAAGUGGAUCAAGGAAUCCAUGGCAAGGGAUCCGAGUUCAAGAUUGCAAGUGUAGAUUCUUUGGAUGCACAAGUGUUUCUCUCAUUCAGUGUUUUAAUAGCUCGAUAAAUAAGGAUUUAAAUUUAUUGAAUAAGCUGAUGGGGGAGGACUUAGGAGAAUGUGGAAAUGGAGAGGAAGAGUGAUUGAUUUCAUGCUAUUGUUGUUUACACCAUACAGUGUUUAUUUAUGUAGUUUUAUGUACUUUUAUUGGUGAAGUGGUGCUACAUUUAGAUAUUCUCAACAUAUAAUGUUCCAGUUUCAAUCG